rnacentral:rRNA from 1 species
CCUACGGGAGGCAGCAGUCGAGAAUCAUUCACAAUGGGGGAAACCCUGAUGGUGCGACGCCGCGUGGGGGAAUGAAGGUCUUCGGAUUGUAAACCCCUGUCAUGUGGGAGCAAAUUAAAAAGAUCGUACCACACGAGGAAGAGACGGCUAACUCUGUGCCAGCAGCCGCGGUAAUACAGAGGUCUCAAGCGUUGUUCGGAAUCACUGGGCGUAAAGCGUGCGUAGGCUGUUUCGUAAGUCGUGUGUGAAAGGCGCGGGCUCAACCCGCGGACGGCACAUGAUACUGCGAGACUAGAGUAAUGGAGGGGGAACCGGAAUUCUCGGUGUAGCAGUGAAACGCGUAGAUAUCGAGAGGAACACUCGUGGCGAAGGCGGGUUCCUGGACAUUAACUGACGCUGAGGCACGAAGGCCAGGGGAGCGAAAGGGAUUAGAUACCCCAGUAGUC